rnacentral:rRNA from 1 species
GAUGAACGCUGGCGGCGUGCUUAACACAUGCAAGUCGAACGAUGAAAGCGGGAGCUUGCUCCUGCUGGAUUAGUGGCGAACGGGUGAGUAACACGUGAGCAAUCUGCCCCGAACUCUGGGAUAAGCGUUGGAAACGACGUCUAAUACCGGAUACGACGCGCGAAGGCAUCUUCUGCGCGUGGAAAGAACUUCGGUUCGGGAUGAGCUCGCGGCCUAUCAGCUAGAUGGUGAGGUAACGGCCCACCAAGGCGACGACGGGUAGCCGGCCUGAGAGGGUGACCGGCCACACUGGGACUGAGACACGGCCCAGACUCCUACGGGAGGCAGCAGUGGGGAAUAUUGCACAAUGGGCGCAAGCCUGAUGCAGCAACGCCGCGUGAGGGACGACGGCCUUCGGGUUGUAAACCUCUUUUAGUAGGGAAGAAGCGAAAGUGACGGUACCUGCAGAAAAAGCACCGGCUAACUCCUUGCCAGCCGCCGCAGUAACAC